rnacentral:rRNA from 1 species
CGGGGGCAGCAGUGGGGAAUAUUGCACAAUGGGCGCAAGCCUGAUGCAGCCAUGCCGCGUGUAUGAAGAAGGCCUUCGGGUUGUAAAGUACUUUCAGCAGUGAGGAAGGUGGGUAUGUUAAUAGCAUAUUCAUUUGACGUUAGCUGCAGAAGAAGCACCGGCUAACUCCGUGCCAGCAGCCGCGGUAAUACGGAGGGUGCGAGCGUUAAUCGGAAUUACUGGGCGUAAAGCGCAUGCAGGUGGUUUGUUAAGUCAGAUGUGAAAGCCCGGGGCUCAACCUCGGAAUUGCAUUUGAAACUGGCAAACUAGAGUACUGUAGAGGGGGUAGAAUUUCAGGUGUAGCGGUGAAAUGCGUAGAGAUCUGAAGGAAUACCGGUGGCGAAGGCGGCCCCCUGGACAGAUACUGACACUCAGAUGCGAAAGCGUGGGGAGCAAACAGGAUUAGAUACCCUGGUAG